UUGGCAAAAAAUGCCAGCAGAUCAUAUUGUUCAUGUUGAUUUGGUUGUAUGGUGAAAUCUUGAAUGUUUUCAUUAAUAGCAUGUUCAUAACUGUGGUCCAUUGUUGUAGAUGAUGGUGUUCUUGCAGUGGAAGUUGGUGUUGAUGAUGGUGUUGAUGAUGGUGUUCUUGCAGUCGAAGAUGGUGUAGAUAAUUGACUGUAGUUGUGUUCAUUUUGAAGGUGCGGACUUGGAGAGAGCGGUGUUCUUGCAGUAGAAGAUGGUGUAGAUAGCUGACUGUAGCUGUGCUCGUUCUGAAGUUGUGAAGUGGUGAGAAGUCCUGUUGUAUGAUCUACAUUGCUUGUUGAAGAGGAGCUUUGGGUGUCGCUGCUUGGAGGUCGAAAGACAAUCAACGUCUGAGAGGGAAAUAUGUUGGUGCGCAAUAUAUACAACUUGUUUGAAUGUGGGCUUACAUCAACGACAGCAAGACUUUGCGAUCGACACUCUACUCUGUCAAAUGGAUAUUUAGCUGUGCUGUUUUUCAACAACUCUGCAUGAGCUACAAUAAGAGCUGGAUUGACUCUUACCUUCUUUGCUAUUCGCUUUUCGCUUGAUUUACAAUUUGCUGUGUGGGGGGAGUCACGUUCAAUGUCAAGUCACUGCUCUCUGUGGAAGCCUUAUGAG